GCAGAUUCAUUUUCUGCCACCGAAUACAUUAGCAUGGGAUAAUGGAAUAGGACCCUGUCCUCCUAUUUUCAGUUGGUUUUGGCAGCGCGAGGACUAGGGUAAUGAUUAAUAGGGAUAGUUGGGGGCAUUAAUAUUUAAUUGUCAGAGGUGAAAUUCUUGGAUUUAUGAAAGAUUAACUUCUGCGAAAGCAUCUGCCAAGGAUGUUUUCAUUAAUCAAGAACGAAAGUUAGGGGAUCGAAGACGAUCAGAUACCGUCGUAGUCUUAACCAUAAACGAUGCCGACCAGCGAUUAGGAGACGUUGAAUACAAAACACCACCAUCGGCGCGGUCGUCCUUGGCGUUCGUGUUCACGCACGAGCGCGAGGGCGGUUUAGCCCGAUGGCACCGGUGAAUGACUCCCCUAGCGCUU
rnacentral:rRNA from 1 species